GACGUAGGGGGCCAGCGUUGUUCGGAAUUACUGGGUGUAAAGGGUUCGUAGGCGGUUCUGUAAGUCCCGCGUGAAAUCCCCCGGCUCAACUGGGGAACUGCGCGGGAAACUGCGGGGCUUGAGUUCGGGAGAGGGAAGCGGAAUUCCGGGUGUAGUGGUGAAAUGCGUAGAUAUCGGGAGGAACACCAGUGGCGAAGGCGGCUUUCUGGCCUGUUCUUGACGCUGAGGCGCGAAAGCCAGGGGAGCCAAACGGGG
rnacentral:rRNA from 1 species